rnacentral:rRNA from 1 species
UACAGAGGGGGCAAGCGUUGUUCGGAAUUACUGGGCGUAAAGGGCGCGUAGGCGGCCUUCUAAGUCAGACGUGAAAUCCCUCGGCUCAACCGGGGAACUGCGUCUGAUACUGAAAGGCUUGAAUCCGGGAGAGGGAUGCGGAAUUCCAGGUGUAGCGGUGAAAUGCGUAGAUAUCUGGAGGAACACCGGUGGCGAAGGCGGCAUCCUGGACCGACACUGACGCUGAGGAGCGAAAGCCAGGGGAGCAAACGGG